rnacentral:rRNA from 1 species
UGGGGAAUUUUGGACAAUGGGGGCAACCCUGAUCCAGCCAUCCCGCGUGUGCGAUGAAGGCCUUCGGGUUGUAAAGCACUUUUGGCAGGGAAGAAACAGCCUGGGAUAAUACCCCGGGCGACUGACGGUACCUGCAGAAUAAGCACCGGCUAACUACGUGCCAGCAGCCGCGGUAAUACGUAGGGUGCAAGCGUUAAUCGGAAUUACUGGGCGUAAAGCGUGCGCAGGCGGUUCGGAAAGAAAGGUGUGAAUCCCAGGGCUUAACCUUGGAACUGCACUUUUAACUACCGAGCUAGAGUACGUCAGAGGGGGGUAGAAUUCCACGUGUAGCAGUGAAAUGCGUAGAGAUGUGGAGGAAUACCGAUUGCGAAGGCAGCCCCCUGGGAUGAUACUGACGCUCAUGCACGAAAGCGUGGGGAGCAAACAGGAUUAGAUACCCUGGUAGUCCACGCCCUAAACGAUGUCAACUAGCUGUUGGGGUUUAUUAACCUUAGUAGCGCAGCUAACGCGUGAAGUUGACCGCCUGGGGAGUACGGUCGCAAGAUU